AACAGACUUUAUUAAUUAUUAAUCUCUCCUUUCACAUGAUGUGACCAAUCUUUUAUGAACUCAUGGUCUAUUAUAACCUAAUUUGAUAGGGGACUGGUAUGUAUUAAGAGUCUGUGAAGUUCUCAGAAGGAAGUGCCUGGGUAGGAGUAAGAAACUGCUGAGGUUUGCAGGCUGCAGAAUCCAGAAUCUGGUCCUUGUUAGACACCAGAGUUUCUAGGCCGGAACAGAACCCUGAGACAGGUGCUGAUAGGAUCUGCUGCUCGUGGAGCUCCUUCUCUGUAAGGAAGAGAAAAAGCACUUAUUACUCCUGACAGAAUGUUUCUGCUCAGGGCUGUAAAUGAUUUUGUAUUUUGAAGUAGAUAUUGCUUUGUCUGAGGGAGAAAGUCUAGGACUUUUAUUUGCACACUGCAGCACUACAGUCCUUGGGGCAUCAAUGCCAACAUUUAAAGCCUACUGUCUACAUUCCCUGCUUUCUUUCCCUCUGCUUCUUUCCAUCCCCCUGUCCCAGUUGCAUCAUUCUUUUUUUCCCAUAAGCUCCAUCCAGCCUCUUCCAUUCAGCUGGUCUUGUUUUCUGCCAGGUUUGCAGGUUGAAUCAGCACACAGAUGGAAGCAGACAGCUCCCUGCUCCUCAGUUUCAUGGAAGCAGACCCCAGUCACUGUCUUGGAUUUGGCCGCAAAUCUGAAGGUGUUCUGUACGUUUAUCAUCUUGAAUUUUGAAGCUUCUGCUCAGCAAAAAGCUGAUUGA
rnacentral:lncRNA from 1 species